rnacentral:rRNA from 1 species
UACGUAGGGUGCGAGCGUUGUCCGGAAUUAUUGGGCGUAAAGAGCUCGUAGGCGGUUUGUCGCGUCGGCCGUGAAAACUUGGGGCUUAACCCCGAGCCUGCGGUCGAUACGGGCAGACUUGAGUUCGGCAGGGGAGACUGGAAUUCCUGGUGUAGCGGUGAAAUGCGCAGAUAUCAGGAAGAACACCAAUGGCGAAAGCAGCUCUCUGGGACGGUACUGACGCUGAGACGCGAAAGCGUGGGGGAGCGAACAGG